GCCUCUGUAGCUCAGUUGGUUAGGGCGCUGCAUCGGAAUGGCAGGGCCGCAGCUUCGAUUCCUGCCAGAGACC